rnacentral:rRNA from 1 species
AGAUGCUAAUACCGGAUAACAACAGAUGAUGCCUAUCAACUGUUUAAAAGAUGGUUCUGCUAUCACUCUUGGAUGGACCUGCGGUGCAUUAGCUAGUUGGUAGGGUAACGGCCUACCAAGGCGAUGAUGCAUAGCCGAGUUGAGAGACUGAUCGGCCACAGUUGGGACUGAGACACGGCCCAAACUCCUACGGGAGGCAGCAGCU